UUCCGGUUGAUCCUGCCGGACCCGACUGCUAUCGGAUUGAGAUUUAGCCAUGCGAGUCGAACGUCCCCCUGUUGCGGGGGGCGUGGCGUACGGCUCAGUAACACGUAGUCAACCUGCCCUCGAGACGUGGACAACCCCGGGAAACUGGGAUUAAUUCCAUGAUAGGCCAUCUCAUCUGGAAGGAGAGAUGACUUAAAGGGGUGUGCGAGCUUCUUUCGCGCAUCUGCUCGAGGAUGGGACUGCGACCGAUCAGGCUGUUGGCGGGGUAAUGGCCCACCAAACCUGUAACCGGUACGGGCCUUGAGAGAGGGGGCCCGGAGAUGGACACUGAGAGAAGGGUCCAGGUCCUACGGGGCGCAGCAGGCGCGAAACCUUCGCAAUGCGCGAAAGCGUGACGAGGUUAAUCCGAGUGGUCCCCGCUGAGGGGAUCUUUUGCCGGCUGUAAAAAGGCCGGUGAAUAAGGGGAGGGCAAGUCUGGUGUCAGCCGCCGCGGUAAUACCAGCUCCUCGAGUGGUCGGGGCGAUUAUUGGGCCUAAAGCAUCCGUAGCCUGUUCUGUAGGUCUUCUGUUAAAUCCAACGGCUUAACCGUUGGCAGGCAGAGGAUACCGCAGGACUAGGAGGCGGGAGAGGUGGGCGGUACUCCACGUGUAGGGGUAAAAUCCUUUGAUCCGUGGAAGACCACCAGUGGCGAAGGCGGCCCACCAGAACGCGCUCGACGGUGAGGGAUGAAAGCUGGGGGAGCGAACCGGAUUAGAUACCCGGGUAGUCCCAGCCGUAAACGAUGCGAGCUAG
rnacentral:rRNA from 1 species